AACGAACGCUGGCGGCGCGCCUAAUACAUGCAAGUCGAGCGAGAAGACGUAGCAAUACGUUUGUAAAGCGGCGAACGGGUGAGGAAUACAUGGGUAACCUACCCUCGAGUGGGGAAUAACUAGCCGAAAGGUUAGCUAAUACCGCGUACGCUCCUUGGACUUCGGUUCAGGGAGGAAAGCGAUACCGUGGGUAUCGCGCUCUUGGAUGGGCUCAUGUCCUAUCAGCUUGUUGGUGAGGUAACGGCUCACCAAGGCUUCGACGGGUAGCUGGUCUGAGAGGACGAUCAGCCACACUGGCACUGCGACACGGGCCAGACUCCUACGGGAGGCAGCAGUAAGGAAUAUUGCGCAAUGGGCGAAAAGCCUGACGCAGCGACGCCGCGUGGGGGAUGAAGGU
rnacentral:rRNA from 1 species